GGGGAAUAUUGCACAAUGGGGGAAACCCUGAUGCAGCCAUGCCGCGUGUGUGAAGAAGGCCUUCGGGUUGUAAAGCUCUUUCGGCCGGGAAGAAAUCGUGCAGGCUAAUGACGGUACCGUAAGAAUAAGCACCGGCUAACUACGUGCCAGCAGCCGCGGUAAUACGUAGGGUGCGAGCGUUAAUCGGAAUUACUGGGCGUAAAGCGUGCGCAGGCGGUGCUGUAAGACAGGCGUGAAAUCCCCGGGCUCAACCUGGGAAUUGCGCUUGUGACUGCAGUGCUGGAGUACGGCAGAGGGGGAUGGAAUUCCGCGUGUAGCAGUGAAAUGCGUAGAUAUGCGGAGGAACACCGAUGGCGAAGGCAGUCCCCUGGGCCUGUACUGACGCUCAUGCACGAAAGCGUGGGGAGCAAACA
rnacentral:rRNA from 1 species